UACAGAGGUCUCAAGCGUUGUUCGGAUUCAUUGGGCGUAAAGGGUGUGUAGGUGGCGCGCUAAGUCGGGUGUGAAAUUUCGGAGCUUAACUCCGAAACUGCAUUCGAUACUGGCGUGCUUGAGGACUGGAGAGGAGACUGGAAUUCCGCGUGUAGCAGUGAAAUGCGUAGAUAUGCGGAGGAACACCGAUGGCGAAGGCAAUCCCCUGGACCUGUACUGACGCUCAUGCACGAAAGCGUGGGGAGCAAACAGG
rnacentral:rRNA from 1 species